GGGGACUAUCUGAAAUAUCACACAGUCCUCUUGCUGGCAGAUCCCUCUUUGAGAGCGAUCACAUGGCCCCCAGGGGCCUCAUUUGCCAGGGGAGGGCUGUCUGGGCUGUCAGGCAGCCCUCCAGAAGAGAAUCACGGCGGAGGUAAGUACCUCCGAGCUCCUGGGGAUGCAAGCCGUUACUGCGUUCUAUGCCGCCGCAACGGCUUUAAAGCCCAUUUAAUGCGGGACGACAUAGAACGCCGUAACGGCGUUAAGGGGUUAAAAUAACUGAGGCAAAAAGGGGAUGCGUGAGGGAACCCUGUAGGACAGUGAUGGCUAACCUUGAAACAAUUUAUGGUGUCAAGGUUAGCCAUCACUGCUGUGGGACUACACAAAACAUCCAUGCUGUGGGCUUGUGUCUGUGGCCAUGGAGUCAGAGGCAUGUGCCCCUCACAUAACUCGCUUCUGAGAACUCUGGCGAUCCCUCUCCCCCACUCCCUCCCUCAUUCUCUCUCUCCCCCUUUCUCUCUCCCCUCCAAUAUGUAUGGAGGAGGUCUGCAGCUUUUUAUUUCUACUUUUUGGUAUAGAACCAAACACCGAAUGCACCAUUUAUCUGCUUUGACCUUUACAGAUCUUUUGCGGUUCGUCAUAAUGCAAAGCACAAUUUCAGGUGUGAGCUAUCUGAGCUCUAUGGACCGCUUCAUUGUAGUCUAAAUUGCUAGAUCAUGCUGAAAAUGAGACCUGCAUGUCUCUUCUGGCGUACAUGGGGAAAUGCAAAUCUUGUUUCAUGGUCUGAUUUCUGUAUUAGGUACCUGUGUGUACCAAACUGUUCUAACUGAUACUGUUACAUUUUUGAAAAAACUAUUUAAUUAAAGGAACAUUAUAGCAUUAGGAAAACAAAUAUGUAUUCCUAACGCUAUAGUUUGUGAC